rnacentral:rRNA from 1 species
GAGUUUGAUCCUGGCUCAGAUUGAACGCUGGCGGCAUGCCUUACACAUGCAAGUCGAACGGCAGCACGGGUGCUUGCACCUGGUGGCGAGUGGCGAACGGGUGAGUAAUACAUCGGAACAUGUCCUGUAGUGGGGGAUAGCCCGGCGAAAGCCGGAUUAAUACCGCAUACGAUCUGAGGAUGAAAGCGGGGGACCUUCGGGCCUCGCGCUAUAGGGUUGGCCGAUGGCUGAUUAGCUAGUUGGUGGGGUAAAGGCCUACCAAGGCGACGAUCAGUAGCUGGUCUGAGAGGACGACCAGCCACACUGGGACUGAGACACGGCCCAGACUCCUACGGGAGGCAGCAGUGGGGAAUUUUGGACAAUGGGCGAAAGCCUGAUCCAGCAAUGCCGCGUGUGUGAAGAAGGCCUUCGGGUUGUAAAGCACUUUUGUCCGGAAAGAAAUCCUUGGUUCUAAUAUAGCCGGGGGAUGACGGUACCGGAAGAAUAAGCACCGGCUAACUACGUGCCAGCAGCCGCGGUAAUACGUAGGGUGCAAGCGUUAAUCGGAAUUACUGGGCGUAAAGCGUGCGCAGGCGGUUUGCUAAGACCGAUGUGAAAUCCCCGGGCUCAACCUGGGAACUGCAUUGGUGACUGGCAGCUAGAGUAUGGCAGAGGGGGUAGAAUUCCACGUGUAGCAGUGAAAUGCGUAGAGAUGUGGAGGAAUACCGAUGGCGAA